rnacentral:misc_RNA from 1 species
GAUAAUCCACGCAUACCCAACCUUCUCUAGAUAUACAGCAUGUGUACUGCCGUUGCAAGCAUACCUUUAAAAGAACAAGUAUGCCACUAUGGCUAGUAAUAGCCCACACACAUCAGGUCAAAGUGCAGCCAAUAAGAAGGUGAUGAUGGGUUACAACCCAAAAACAGAAUAUCAACUAAGAAAUUAAAAAUCUUACGAAAGUGGACUUGGCUGUAAUUAAUUUAUAAGUUAAAGAAAUGAACAAAAAUCUAAGACAUGCACACAUCGCCCGUCACUCUAUCCUAAAGGAUAGAUAAGUCGUAACAAAGUAGGUGUAAUGGAAAUUGCACCUGUCGAAGUAUAGCAUAUAUAAUGCUUUUUACUUACACUAAAAAUAAAGUUAAAUAACUUGCUUCGCACAUAUAAAUAAGCCCUUAAAUAAAAAACAAUAAAAACAGUUAAAUAGUUAACAACACAAAGUACAGAAAUGGAAAAAAUAAUAAAUAAAAGUAAAUCUUAAUAAAUGUACCUUGUGCAUUAUGGUUUUACAAGAAAACAAUCAAAAUAGUAAUCCCAUUCUAAGUGAGAUGUUAAACUGCUGUUAUGAACCCAUUAAUAGCUGUAUAAAAAGCUUUAAAAGACAGUUUAACAGAGGCUACAUACCAUCCGCACAAGAAUA